UACGAAGGGUGCAAGCGUUACUCGGAAUUACUGGGCGUAAAGGGUGCGUAGGUGGUUUGUUAAGUCUGCUGUGAAAUCCCCGGGCUCAACCUGGGAAUGGCAGUGGAUACUGGCAAGCUAGAGUGCGGUAGAGGGUAGUGGAAUUCCCGGUGUAGCAGUGAAAUGACGUAGAGAUCGGGAGGAACACCAGUGGCGAAGGCGGCUACCUGGACCACAACUGACGCUGAGGCGCGAAAGCUAGGGGAGCAAACAGG
rnacentral:rRNA from 1 species